AGUGGCGCACGGGUGCGUAACACGUAUGUAACCUACCUCUAACAGUGGCAUAACAAUGAGAAAUUAUUGCUAAUUCCGCAUGUGGUUAAUUUGAGGCAUCUUAGAUUAACUAAAGAUUUAUCGGUUAGAGCUGGGCAUGCGUCCCAUUAGCUAGUUGGUGAGGUAACGGCUCACCAAGGCAUCGAUGGGUAGGGGCUCUGAGAGGAUUGUCCCCCACACUGGUACUGAGACACGGACCAGACUCCUACGGGAGGCAGCAGUAAGGAAUAUUGGGCAAUGGACGCAAGUCUGACCCAGCCAUGCCGCGUGAAGGAAGACGGCCCUAUGGGUUGUAAACUUCUUUUCUCAGGGGGUAAACUCCGGAACGAGUUCCGGACUGAAAGUACCUGAGGAAUAAGCAUCGGCUAACUCCGUGCCAGCAGCCGCGGUAAUACGGAGGAUGCGAGCGUUAUCCGGAUUCAUUGGGUUUAAAGGGUGCGCAGGCGGGUAUAUAAGUCGGAGGUGAAAUUCUGAUGCUCAACAUCAGCCGUGCCUUCGAUACUGUAUAUCUAGAGUCAAGUUGGAGUAGGCGGAAUGUGUUGUGUAGCGGUGAAAUGCUUAGAUAUAACACAGAACACCGAUCGCGAAGGCAGCUUACUAAACUUUGACUGACGCUCAUGCACGAAAGCGUGGGGAUCAAACAGGAUUAGAUACCCUGGUAGUCCACGCUGUAAACGAUGAUUACUCGCUGUUGG
rnacentral:rRNA from 1 species